rnacentral:rRNA from 1 species
AUGAUGUUUCUCGCGCACCAGCGCGAUGGCAGCUGCUCCCUCAUCAACGCUCUCUCCGGUGCCAGGACCGAUCUCCCUGAGCUGGCUGCUAUGUUGCGGUAUGUCAACCUCUGGCACCGAAAGCCAAACGAGCUCAGGCGCACCCCCCAUGACCCACACGACCCCACGAUGGCUAUAGGAAAGGUGGUGUUAUCUUCAGCGCCGGACGACCCCAUCGUCGCCGUCCUGCUCAAAAACAAAAUCUUCGUUUCUACUUGCCGGCCGGCCGGAGAGAGCAACUCGUGCCUGGUGGUGUUGGCUCACGAGGCCGUCGACAUUGCUCUGUUUCAAGGGCAGAUCUACGCCCUCUCCACGAGCCAUGUCCUCAAGAACCUCAACCUCAUCAAUGGUCACCUCGACAAGCCGACGCCGCCUGGCGUCGAACCAAAACUGCGGUGCGGUUUAGAUUUGAUAAAGAACCCGUGGUCAUGGCAGCAACAUGAGCAAGAUGAAGAAGACGUUUUCAAGCAAGAUGAAGAAGACGUUUUCGCUGACCCCCUGGUCGAGCUAUAUCUAGUUGAGUCUGGCGGCAAGCUCUUGAUGGUGAAGCGAUGGCUCCGCCACCCAUGGAUGCCCUGCUUCCCGGAAGGUAGAAGAACGUUUUGCUUGCAUGUGUGGGAGGCAGACAUGAGCGAAGGCCAGUGGAGGAAGUUGGACGGCAGCCUAGAAGGCCGGGCGCUCUUUGUGAGCAGGUCUUGCUCUAAGUCUUUGCCCGCCGGUCAUGGAGUUCGAGAAGACUGUAUCUACUUCCUGAAGAACCUCUAUGUGUCGAGGAAGCCGAACGCACCUCUCGGCGACUUUGGCGUGUACAACGUUAGAGACAAGACGUUCACCCCUUUGUUGCGUGAGUCAAUGCCAUUGCUGCCGUGGAAGAUUUGA